GAGCGGACGGCCUCAUGGUGGAUCAGAAUUCACAAUUCAUGGGUGGGUGACCAACGCAUAACCAAGAGAAAUCUAGCUAAUCCUACUCAUGUCCUAAUCUAAACUGUGAAAUAACACGUCACAAUUCAAUCGCCAUGAACUUAUGCUCGAAAAUAAUAUAUCUCUCUGUAUAGUAGAUUACACACUACUGUAUAGCCUGAGAGUCCUGCUCUGAAAUACAGCAUAUGUACAGUAAAUCACACACUACCGUAGAGUUCUGAGUAUCCAAUCAAUGGAUUUCUGACCACCUAAUUACAGUUCCACGCUUAAAGCAGAAAAAUAAUUCUAAACCUCACUUCUUAUGAAGAGGUAACAUCUCUGAUUCUGAUUUGAUAAGAUUCCUCUUGCUGCCACCAAUCCGUAGCUUCUAACCGUGCAUCGUUUGGAGGUCAAACGAUAGAGUUAUUCUCCAUUUACUUCUUUACAAGAAUAUGAAACUGCAGGGAUAUAGACGUCAUUUCACUGCCUUGCUUGGCAAACUACAGAACUAUCACUCAAACGUAUGGAAGUUACCCUGUGGUCGCUUAUCUUUCCGAAACUACAGUUUGGUCACUGAACUGUAGGGACUUGCAAAAGGGUCCCCCUUCUUCUCCGGCAACCUUUGCCCUUCUUGGAAUGCGGUAAAACUGACGCCAGAGCUCCUCCCUGAUGUCGCCGCUGCUGCCUGGCUCCCCUCCACCGCCAUAGCUCGUCCCAAAUAGCGGAGAUCCUCCGCCUCUUGUCGUCAACCGCCGCCAAUCGAGUAUGUCGCCGCCUCCACGCCGCUCGUCCUUUCCGAUCUCCUAGCAUCACUUCGCCGCCGCGACUCCUCUCCUUCUUGCGGUGAGAAACAAGUCCUUGAUCUCCUGAACAAUAUUCCUCUCUUGAUCUUGACAGAGUGCGCAUCCUUCACUGCUUCGAUCGGCAGCGAUCGCCGCCAACCUCCCCCCAUCUGCUCGCGUUCUAGGUUAGAGAAAAGAAGAAAAUCACCCAAUCAACCCUCCUCUCCUU
rnacentral:lncRNA from 1 species